rnacentral:rRNA from 1 species
CCUACGGGAGGCAGCAGUAGGGAAUCUUCCACAAUGGGCGAAAGCCUGAUGGAGCAACGCCGCGUGGGUGAAGAAGGUCUUCGGAUCGUAAAACCCUGUUGUUAGAGAAGAAAGUGCGUGAGAGUAACUGUUCACGUUUCGACGGUAUCUAACCAGAAAGCCACGGCUAACUACGUGCCAGCAGCCGCGGUAAUACGUAGGUGGCAAGCGUUAUCCGGAUUUAUUGGGCGUAAAGGGAACGCAGGCGGUCUUUUAAGUCUGAUGUGAAAUCCUUCGGCUUAACCGGAGUAGUGCAUUGGAAACUGGGAAACUUGAGUGCGGGAGAGGAGAGUGGAACGCCAUGUGUAGCGGUGAAAUGCGUAGAUAUAUGGAAGAACACCAGUGGCGAAGGCGGCUCUCUGGUCUGUAACUGACGCUGAGGUUCGAAAGCGUGGGUAGCAAACAGGAUUAGAUACCCCAGUAGUC